AUACGGAGGGUGCAAGCGUUAUCCGGAAUCAUUGGGUUUAAAGGGUCCGCAGGCGGAUUAAUAAGUCAGUGGUGAAAUCCUCUCGCUCAACGAGAGAACUGCCAUUGAAACUGUUAGUCUUGAAUUCGAUCGAAGUAGGCGGAAUGUGUCAUGUAGCGGUGAAAUGCAUAGAUAUGACACAGAACACCGAUAGCGAAGGCAGCUUACUAGACCUGGAUUGACGCUCAUGGACGAAAGCGUGGGGAGCGAACAGGAGUAGAAACCCUGGUAGUCC
rnacentral:rRNA from 1 species